CCAUUCCACUCCGAGCGCCGUCUGUCCCAGAGCAGUCAGAUCAGCGAGACGGGCAGCGGUAUACUCACUCCUCACUCCAGCUCUGCAGCUUUACAGGGAGACGCCGAGAAAACACACGAAUUACUGGAUAAAGACGUCAGGACGGUUGAAUUCACAAAGGUCAGUU